rnacentral:rRNA from 1 species
AUAAGUGAAUAGUGAAAUCUGGCGGCUCAACCGUACAGGCUAUUAUUCAAACUGUAUAACUCGAGAAUGGUAGAGGUAACUGGAAUUUCUAGUGUAGGAGUGAAAUCCGUAGAUAUUAGAAGGAACACCAAUGGCGUAGGCAGGUUACUGGACCAUUUCUGACACUAAGGCACGAAAGCGUGGGGAGCGAACGGGAUUAGAUACCCCGGUAGUCCACGCCGUAAACGAUGGAUGCUA